GACGAACGCUGGCGGCGUGCUUAACACAUGCAAGUCGAACGAAGAGCGAUGGACGCUUGCUUCUAUCAAUCUUAGUGGCGAACGGGUGAGUAACGCGUAAUCAACCUGCCCUUCAGAGGGGGACAACAGUUGGAAACGACUGCUAAUACCGCAUACGAUCUAAUCUCGGCAUCGAGGAUAGAUGAAAGGUGGCCUCUACAUGUAAGCUAUCACUGAAGGAGGGGAUUGCGUCUGAUUAGCUAGUUGGAGGGGUAACGGCCCACCAAGGCGAUGAUCAGUAGCCGGUCUGAGAGGAUGAACGGCCACAUUGGGACGGAGACACGGCCCAGACUCAUACGGGAGGCAGCAGUGGGGAAUCUUCCGCAAUGGACGAAAGUCUGACGGAGCAACGCCGCGUGAGUGAUGACGGCCUUCGGGUUGUAAAGCUCUGUUAAUCGGGACGAAAGGCCUUCUUGCGAAUAGUGAGAAGGAUUGACGGUACCGGAAUAGAAAGCCACGGCUAACUACGUG
rnacentral:rRNA from 1 species